rnacentral:ribozyme from 1 species
GCUGCUCAAAUAUGCUACCUCUACGUGGUGGGCGGCAGGCAACGAGAACCUUUCUCGGCUAAAGCAUA